AUGUCUAUCCUAUAUGGAUCCCUCGGUGGUGGUCAGUUCUUGGCAUUGCACGGACGCGAUUUAAUCAACAGGAAGCUUCUUAACUCUAAGGAAGAUAGCAUCGAUGAUGUCAAGAAGCUGUUGGGAUUCUUUGCUGAGAUGAAAGCAGUAAAUAAUGAAUUCUUCUUCGACUUCCAGAUUGAUGAGUUUGGUCGCAUAAAGAACUUCUUCUGGGCUAAUGCAAGCUGCAGGGGCGCGUACCAAGAUUUUGGUGAUGCGAUGACAUUUGACACCACUUAUAAGACAAAUCAGUACCUUAUGCCUUUGGGAGUAUUUGUAGGAGUAAACAAUCAUCUCCAGUCAACAAUAUUCGUGUGUGCCCUUGUAAGGGAUGAAUGUGAAGAAUCUUUUGCUUGGCUAUUCAGAACCUUCUUGGCAUGCAACAAUGGGAAGCAACCUACAAUAAUUUUAACAGGUAUAACACAUUCCAAUUUAUAUAGAUCGUGGACAUAUAGACUGACAUUGUAG
rnacentral:rRNA from 1 species